GAUGAAGAACGUAGCGAAAUGCGAUAAGUAAUGUGAAUUGCAGAAUUCAGUGAAUCAUCGAAUCUUUGAACGCACAUUGCGCCCCUUGGUAUUCCGGGGGGCAUGCCUGUUCGAGCGUCAUUAUAACCACUCAAGCUCUCGCUUGGUAUUGGGGCUCGCGGUUCCGCGGCCCCUAAAAUCAGUGGCGGUGCCUGUCGGCUCUACGCGUAGUAAUACUCCUCGCGAUUGAGUCCGGUAGGUCUACUUGCCAGCAACCCCCAAUUUUUACAGGUUGACCUCGGAUCAGGUAGGGAUACCCGCUGAACUUAAGCAUAUCAAUAAGCGGAGGA
rnacentral:misc_RNA from 1 species